UAAAAUGAGAGUUUGAUCCUGGCUCAGGACGAACGCUGGCGGCGUGCCUAAUACAUGCAAGUCGAACGCAAUCUUUU
rnacentral:rRNA from 1 species